CCGUAGUGAGAAGGGGCCUGAGAAAGCCCUGAGGCAACGGGAUGUUGUGGUGGCACCCGCGUUGUCCAUAGUGCUUGCUGGAUUGUACACUAACAUCCACAGCUAUCACAGUUACUUGGAGCUUUGGAGAGCAGAGACCUCCAGAGGGGCAUGGUCUCUAAGUGAAAGUGGCACAUGCUGAACCGAAGUGUUUAAACUGCUUUCCUGUGAAGUGCUGCUCCUUUAAGGACUGAGAAUGUAUUAGUAGAGAUGGUCAGCAUUUCCUGCUCACAGACAACUACAUGGAAGCAGGUGAAAAGGUCCACACUUCUGUCCAAGGUCCAGGUUGCACCUAAGCCUUUUCUCUGCAAAGAUCAUGAUCUCAGGAAUGCCAUGCCACUUCCAUUAAUCCUUUUCUCGACUUGAAGAUGCCUCUGAAUAUGGGUAAAGUUGUAUUUUAAAAACGAAAGAAAGAAAGAAAGAAAGAAAGAGAAAACGAGACUCAUUCACAUUCCGAGUCUGCUUUCUGUCUCACACGUAUUACAUUUCACAAAACAGAU